rnacentral:rRNA from 1 species
CCCUACGGGGGGCAGCAGUAGGGAAUCUUCCACAAUGGACGAAAGUCUGAUGGAGCAACGCCGCGUGAGUGAAGAAGGGUUUCGGCUCGUAAAGCUCUGUUGGUAGUGAAGAAAGAUAGAGGGAGUAACUGGCCCUUAUUUGACGGUAAUUACUUAGAAAGUCACAGCUAACUACGUGCCAGCAGCCGCGGUAAUACGUAGGUGGCAAGCGUUGUUCGGAUUUAUUGGGCGUAAAGCGAAUGCAGGCGGUUCAAUAAGGUUGAUGUGAAAGCCUUCGGCUCAACCGGGGAAAUGCAUCAGAAACU